rnacentral:lncRNA from 1 species
CUCCACCAACACCACCUCCUGCUCCAACCCCUCCACCUUUACCUGCACCACCCCCAACUCCUCCACCACCAAAACCGCCACCUCCACCUACUCCACCUCCACCACCAAGACCUCCUCCAGCUCCUCCACCAAAUCCUCCACCACCUCCACGUCCACCUCCAAAUCCAGGACCUCUUCCUCCUGGUCUUCCAAAUCCACCACGUCCACCACCAAAACAACCUCUCCUUCCAAAUCCACAAUCAU